rnacentral:lncRNA from 1 species
UGUUAAAAAAUGUUUUCAAGAGACAAAAAUCUAUAGAAUGUUUGCAGAACCUGGCCUGGCAAGCUCUCUGCUGUUUGUAUCAUUGAGUGCUUCUGAAAUGGAAUUGUGAAUCCUGUGGCUUAAAGGGCAGAGAGCUUGGGAACAUUUUUCUGAGCUCAAAGCUAGAUACCGCUCCACAAAGAUGGGAACCUAUUUCCUGGACCUCACUGAUUUAGCUAAACUGGACUGAAUUGUGGACCUUAGAGGAACUCUGGUUGCAGUGCUUGUGAGGCAAAUGGUCUCUCACUGAGCCUGGUGGAGCUGGACAGCACACCCUGAGGUCUCCUGUCUCCACCUUCCCAGCUCUGGGGAUGCAGGACAUCAGCUCAGCUGCAGCCCAGUCCAAAAGACAGCACCUGGAUGCUUUCCUCUUGGAUUCUGGACGCCGAUUCUCCAACAAGAAUUCACAGAGGCCCCAUCUCAUCAUCUGCACAGUUGGAGAGAAUUAUUGUACUACCUAAAUUAGGCCAAGGACUGAGCCACAGUGGGGACUGAACUGCCUCUUUCAAGCUGUAGUUCUCCAAGUCAGGGGAAAGGGCAGCAUCAGAGGGAACUCGCAUCAAGCCUAAUGAGGACCUUCCUGAAAGCAGCCGUGGGAAUACUUUAAAAAUCUCACCUCCUGCAAGUACAUGUUUUUUAACUUACCGUUCUCCAGCAGAAUACUUUACUGUGUCUCCUGCCUGCUGCCAGCCCACUGACUUAAUUCACAGAGAGGGGGAAUUGGUACUUGCUGGGUCAGUCCACCCUUUUUUCUCUUUUCACCUCCAGGACAGUGUGGUUGACCAAUGCUUUCAUUUCUCUUAAAAAAAAAAAAAGAAGAAAGAAAGAAAAAGAAAAAAAAACUGCCUGAAAAUACUGUCUUAAGCUUUAAACAGCAUCCUGUUGGCCACCUCCUCCAUGCUCAUAUGCCUAAAUUUUUUAAAUCUCUGACAAUUUCACACAUAUAUACAGUGUGUUAUCAUAUUCACCCUCCCCCCCCAUUGCUCUCUCUUGCCC